CUCGUGGAAAGAAGAUGGUGGAGAAGUUUUGUGAAUCGAAUACAUAUGGUUUAUCAUAGUCAAUCCUACCUUAAUUUGAAGGUAAUAUGCUGUAUUUAAUAUCAGUAUUUGUAGUAGAAUACUUAAAUUGCUAAUAGAGGUGAAUUUUUGAGAGAUCGAGCUAGAAUUUAGUGCGAUAUUUCGGCUUAAAGUUUGUACUUUGCGAGCUGUUCUUCGCGAUUCUUCUAUAAUUAUGUAUAUAUCAAAUUGCUUUAAUCUUUACUAAUAAAUAUCCUUGUAAAACCGAUAAAGCUAGAAUAUUAAAAUGUUCAUUUGGGGGUAUUUUGAGCCACGCAGACUACACCUUUUGCAGCAAAAAUGACGCAUACCAGUUUUCUGCGUUAACCAAUCGUUAACUAGACAAUUUUUUUCUCAAACAAAAAUAUGUACAUCCAAUGCAACUGCCAGCUUUCAGGGAAGGGUCAUAUAUACGUUUAUGCCAAAACGACAUGUACGUUCUUUAUAGUUUAUAUAUAAUAUUUCAGGAAAGAGAAAUCAUGCCUAUAAACUUCCCUCCCUCCCAAGCAUCAUAUUGAUGUUUUUGGCAGAAACAUGUAUCUGACCCUCACCUUUAUAUUUUACCCUGUACCUAAUAAUAAUAAUAAAAUCUUUAUUUAAACUGAUAAAAAAGACCAUUCAGUCAAUCACAUAGAUAGGCUUGUGAUCUGAAUCGGUGGUCAGUGUAAAAACUACCACAUUCUCACAUAUUUUUUUUUAAUUUGACAGAUGUUGUGCAUUCGAUUACUUUGUUGAUUAUGAAAAGUGAAUUCAUUUCAGAAACAUAAAUGAAAGGUAUACAAUUUUUCAUAUGUAAUUUGGCCCCUCCGUAUCAUUAAAGAUCUGUAAAGUUUGUAAAUAUGUAAAAAACGCUUUGUUUACAUUUUGAACUCAGUGCUACAGUUCUAAAAUAUGAUUAGAUAUAUAUUAUACUGAAUUUUUAACACUCUUCUGGUUUGCUAUGCUUGUAAAUGAACAGACUGUAGAUUCAAUUCAAGAAAGUUUGAACGGUUCAAAAUAUUAAUAACAUUCCAAUGGUCCGGUCUCGACCAUUGGAAUGUAGGCCUGUGCAGAGCGUAUGUGCAGAAUGGACUUUACGGCAUCUUUAAAGUGUAUUAGCAACAAAAAUCUCUUAUAUAAUAAAAGUUUCUUUCAUUUGAAAAAACUUGUCAAAUGGUAAUGGAGCAUAUAUUACAAAUCUUUCCGUAUCUUUCUUUUGUUUCUGAGAUAUUUCAAUGUGUUUGAUAUGCAAAUAAUUAUGAUGUCACAAGCUCAGGGUAGAGAAUUUUAAAACAUUAAAAUAUCAGAUGCUUGUGAUGUUACUCUGAGUGUAUAUCCACACCGGGCAAGCUUGAAAGUAUGCCUGACCACGGUGGGAAUCGAACCUAACCUACGACCCAACGACCUAAAAACCAACACAGAAAAAUCAUUAAAAUAUCAGAUAAAUCCAGUUCAUUGCUCAGCAUGCCAUGUUAGUGUCAUGAAGAGUUGUCAUAUACACAAUGUCAAGUAAAUAUUAGAAACAAUUUGCAGAAUGUAGCUGAUAUUUAAUGUUUUAAAAUUUUGUACCCAGCUAAUGUGAUGUCAUAAAUUGCAUAUCAAACACAUUGAAAUAUUUCAAUAACGAAGAAAGAUAUGACAGAUUUGUACCAUUUCACAAGCUCUUUCGAAAUAUUACUAUUUAGUAUUUAGAAUUUUUUUAUGCUCAUACCCAUUAAAGGUUAUGAGCAUCAUGUUCCGUUUUUUUUAAUCAAGGCCAUGCAGCAAAGGUUGCAUGAUUUAUAAAACUUUUAAUUGAAAAAGUGAUGAAUCUUUUCAAAAUUACUUCUGUGCAUGCCCACAUUGCAUCAAAACCCAUCAUUUAAAAUGUUGACUGCUGUUCCAUUAAUUUUGUGUCUCAAUACUUUUUUCAAUUCUCCUAGAUAUAUGUUGGAUGGAUGUUGGCUGAAGUUGUAUGGAUCAUGAAAGUAUAUGAAAGGUCUUUACAUUUUAAUAUCUUGUUUAAGUAUGAAAUGCUUUGAACAUUGUAUGUUUGCCCGUGGUCAGUGGCUUUGUUUAUUGUUAUAUUUUUUCUAAAUCCUGGCAGAUUUAUUGCAAAAAUAUUAUUACUAUCUUUAUAGUCAAAUUGACACAAAAGACAACAAACAUAAUAGAAACAUAAAAAAUAUUUUCUGUCACUCUUUCAGCCAGUAUAAGUUUGGAAAUUGCAGUUUCAUUGUUGCUGGAUUGGUUGAUUAAGUUUUGUGUUGCCACUCAUCACAGAAUGCCUCAAAUUUUCAAAGCAUUUCUGUUUCAGGAAAAGCCAAAAAAUGAUGAAUUGUUUGUGUUUUAAAAAGUUAAGAUAUUGCCUAUAAAAUAUGAAUCAGUAUGGAAUAUAUUUCUGUUUCCUGUUUGGAUCAACAGUUCAUAAAACACAAGAAAAGAUCUAUCUGAG